GACGAACGCUGGCGGCGUGCUUAACACAUGCAAGUCGAACGAAGAGCGAUGGAAGCUUGCUUCUAUCAAUCUUAGUGGCGAACGGGUGAGUAACGCGUAAUCAACCUGCCCUUCAGAGGGGGACAACAGUUGGAAACGACUGCUAAUACCGCAUACGAUCUAAUCUCGGCAUCGAGGAUAGAUGAAAGGUGGCCUCUACAUGUAAGCUAUCACUGAAGGAGGGGAUUGCGUCUGAUUAGCUAGUUGGAGGGGUAACGGCCCACCAAGGCGAUGAUCAGUAGCCGGUCUGAGAGGAUGAACGGCAACAUUGGGACUGAGACACGGCCCAGACUCCUACGGGAGGCAGCAGUGGGGAAUCUUCCGCAAUGGACGAAAGUCUGACGGAGCAACGCCGCGUGAGUGAUGACGGCCUUCGGGUUGUAAAGCUCUGUUAAUCGGGACGAAAGGCCUUCUUGCGAAUAGUGAGAAGGAUUGACGGUACCGGAAUAGAAAGCCACGGCUAACUACGUG
rnacentral:rRNA from 1 species